rnacentral:rRNA from 1 species
GAUGAACGCUGGCGGCGUGCCUAACACAUGCAAGUCGAGCGAGAAAUAAAGAAAUGACACUUCGGUUGAACUUCUUUAUGGAAAGCGGCGGACGGGUGAGUAACGCGUAGGCAACCUGCCCCGAACACAGGGAUAGCCUCGGGAAACCGGGAUUAAAACCUGAUGAUGCCAAAGAAUCUCAUGAUUCUCUGGUCAAAGAUUUAUCGGUACGGGAUGGGCCUGCGUCUGAUUAGUUAGUUGGUGAGGUAACGGCUCACCAAGGCAACGAUCAGUAGCCGACCUGAGAGGGUGAUCGACCACAUUGGAACUGAGACACGGUCCAGACUCCUACGGGAGGCAGCAGUGGGGAAUAUUGCACAAUGGGCGAAAGCCUGAUGCAGCAACGCCGCGUGAACGAAGAAGGCCUUUGGGUCGUAAAGUUCUGUCCUUGGGGAAGAAACAAAUGACGGUACCCUUGGAGGAAGCCCCGGCUAACUACGUGCCAGCAGCCGCGGUAACAC